UCCAGAAGCGUAUCUCCCUGCAGCUCUCACCUGGUGUCACACUGACGCUAAGCAGGAUUGAUCCUGGUCAGUACCUGGAUGGGAGACCUCCUGGGGAAAAAAUAAGGUUGCUGCUGGAA
rnacentral:rRNA from 1 species